GCAGUCGAGCGAACAGAUAAGGAGCUUGCUCCUUUGACGUUAGCGGCGGACGGGUGAGUAACACGUGGAUAACCUACCUAUAAGACUGGGAUAACUUCGGGAAACCGGAGCUAAUACCGGAUAACAUAUUGAACCGCAUGGUUCAAUAGUGAAAGGCGGCUUUGCUGUCACUUAUAGAUGGAUCCGCGCCGUAUUAGCUAGUUGGUAAGGUAACGGCUUACCAAGGCAACGAUACGUAGCCGACCUGAGAGGGUGAUCGGCCACACUGGAACUGAGACACGGUCCAGACUCCUACGGGAGGCAGCAGUAGGGAAUCUUCCGCAAUGGGCGAAAGCCUGACGGAGCAACGCCGCGUGAGUGAUGAAGGUCUUCGGAUCGUAAAACUCUGUUAUCAGGGAAGAACAAAUGUGUAAGUAACUGUGCACAUCUUGACGGUACCUGAUCAGAAAGCCACGGCUAACUACGUGCCAGCAGCCGCGGUAAUACGUAGGUGGCAAGCGUUAUCCGGAAUUAUUGGGCGUAAAGCGCGCGUAGGCGGUUUUUUAAGUCUGAUGUGAAAGCCCACGGCUCAACCGUGGAGGGUCAUUGGAAACUGGAAAACUUGAGUGCAGAAGAGGAAAGUGGAAUUCCAUGUGUAGCG
rnacentral:rRNA from 1 species